rnacentral:rRNA from 1 species
UACGGGGGGAGCAAGCGUUGUUCGGAUUUACUGGGCGUAAAGGGCGCGUAGGCGGUCAGCACAAGUCAGUUGUGAAAUCUCCGGGCCUAACUCGGAAAGGUCAACUGAUACUGUGCGACUAGAGUGCAGAAGGGGCAACUGGAAUUCUCGGUGUAGCGGUGAAAUGCGUAGAUAUCGAGGGGAACACCUGCGGCGAAGGCGGGUUGCUGGGCUGACACUGACGCUGAGGCGCGAAAGCCAGGGGAGCGAACGGG